GCAUUAGUGGUGUAACGGUUAGCACACUCGGCGCGUAUUCGAGAGGUUCAGGUUCGAGUCCCGGCGAGGGCA
rnacentral:tRNA from 1 species